rnacentral:rRNA from 1 species
UACGUAGGGGGCAAGCGUUGUCCGGAAUGACUGGGCGUAAAGGGAGUGUAGGCGGCCUUGUAAGUUAGAUGUGAAAUCCUACGGCUUAACCGUAGAACUGCAUCUAAAACUGUGAAGCUGGAGUGCAGGAGAGGUAAGCGGAAUUCCUGGUGUAGCGGUGAAAUGCGUAGAUAUCAGGAGGAACACCGGCGGCGAAGGCGGCUUACUGGACUGUAACUGACGUUGAGGCUCGAAGGCGUGGGGAGCAAACAGG